rnacentral:rRNA from 1 species
UACGUAGGGUGCAAGCGUUGUCCGGAAUUAUUGGGCGUAAAGAGCUCGUAGGCGGUGUGUCACGUCGUUCGUGAAAACCUGCAGCUUAACUGUGGGCGUGCGGUCGAUACGGGCAUCACUGGAGUUCGGCAGGGGAGACUGGAAUUCAUGGUGUAGCAGUGAAAUGCGUAGAGAUCAUGAGGAAGACCAGUGGCGAAGGCGGGUCUCUGGACAGUUCCUGACACUGAGGCACGAAGGCCAGGGGAGCAAACGGG